rnacentral:piRNA from 1 species
UACACAAUGGAGUACAAGGACUGAAUGAAC